rnacentral:rRNA from 1 species
UAUUGCACAAUGGGGGAAACCCUGAUGCAGCGACGCCCCGUGAGCGAUGAAGUAUUUCGGUAUGUAAAGCUCUAUCAGCAGGGAAGAAAAUGACGGUACCUGACUAAGAAGCCCAGGCUAACUACGUGCCAGCAGCCGCGGUAAUACGUAGGGGGCAAGCGUUAUCCGGAUUUACUGGGUGUAAAGGGAGCGUAGACGGCAGCACAAGUCUGGAGUGAAAUGCCGGGGCUUAACCCCGGAACUGCUUUGGAAACUGUGCAGCUAGAGUGCAGGAGAGGUAAGUGGAAUUCCUAGUGUAGCGGUGAAAUGCGUAGAUAUUAGGAGGAACACCAGUGGCGAAGGCGGCCUGCUGGACGAUGACUGACGUUGAGGCUCGAAAGCGUGGGGAGCAAACAGG